rnacentral:piRNA from 1 species
UGGAAAACGAAAGGGUGGG